rnacentral:rRNA from 1 species
GAUGAACGCUGGCGGCGUGCCUAAUACAUGCAAGUCGAGCGAAUGGAUUAAGAGCUUGCUCUUAUGAAGUUAGCGGCGGACGGGUGAGUAACACGUGGGUAACCUGCCCAUAAGACUGGGAUAACUCCGGGAAACCGGGGCUAAUACCGGAUAACAUUUUGAACCGCAUGGUUCGAAAUUGAAAGGCGGCUUCGGCUGUCACUUAUGGAUGGACCCGCGGCGCAGUAGCUAGUUGGUGAGGUAACGGCUCACCAAGGCAACGAUGCGUAGCCGACCUGAGAGGGUGAGCGGCCACACUUGGACUGAGACACGGCCCAGACUCCUACGGGGGGCAGCAGUAGGGAAUCUUCCGCAAUGGACGAAAGUCUGACGGAGCAACGGCGCGUGAGUGAUGAAGGCUUUCGGGUCGUAAAACUCUGUUGUUAGGGAAGAACAAGCGCUAGUUGAAUAAGCUGGCACCUUGACGGUACCUAACCAGAAAGCCACGGCUAACUACGUGCCAGCCGCCGCCGUAA